GAGAGAAGCAGCAUAGCCCAGUGGUUAAGUGUGCAAGCUCGGAAGUGACACAGCUGGGUUCCAAUCCUAAAUUCUGCCUCUUGCCAGCUCUGCAUAAACUGGUGGCAAAUUACUUCACUUCUGCAAGCCUCCUGUGCCAUGCCUACAAAUACAGGAUAAGGAGACAUUUAUGGAGGUGACUUGCCCAAGGUUUUCCAAGCUGGAUACACACCUGUUCAGGUUUACAUUUCAUGCUGUAAAAGGCUCACACUGGCUCCAUGUGGAUUGGAGUAGGGCAGGGAAAGGAGGCUGCAGUAACUCCUCACGAGAUGGUGACACCGAGAGUUUUAUCAGUGGGGGUGGAGAGAAAGGAACGGAGCAGAGACACAUUCUGGAAGCAGAACAGACGGCACUUAAGAGACACUGGAUCUUAGAGGUCUUGGAUCUGCCAAGAACAUAUUUAUACUCGAUUCCUAAUUGGCUCUGGAAAUGGGGGCCUUGUGGUGGAGUACAUUUAGAAAGCACUGUUCUCAAGAAGUGGAGUCUUCACAGACAAUACAAUCUAUUGACUGAAGUGCAGCAGGAGGGUCAUUGGAUUUGGGGAAAUACCUUAAAGAAUUGACUCAGGAGACCCGUGUCCUCGGCUUGGUCUGACCACGUGUCAGCUGUGUGACCUCGGGCAGGUGCUCAGCUUUCUGUUCUUCAUAUGUAAAAAUGGAAGAUGGUAAUCCCUACCUCAUUCGAGUCUUUGUGGAAAUUGGACGAGGUGGUGUGUCUAAGGUCUGGAAAGCGUUAUGCACAUUUUACAAAAUCCAUCACUUCUCACCACCUCCACGGAUACCACCCUAGCCCACACCCCCAUCGUGGAUCACCCCCAUUGCUGCAGUGGCCUCCUGACUCUCUCUCUCUCUGUUUCUGCCCCUGCCCCCUCACAGUCUAUUCUUAACACAGCCAGAGUGAUGUUACAAAAAUAUGUCACACCAUGUCACUUCUCUGCUCAAAACCCUCCUACAACUUCACAUCCCACUCACGGUGAAAUCCAGGGUCCGCAGGGUGCCACUCCCCACUUUCCUGUCUGAUUUCAUCACCUAUUCUCACCCUCCACUCAAUCUACUUCAGCCACACAGCCUUCCUGAUAUUCCUGGAACUCACCAGGCAGAAUCCCACCCCGGGGUCUUUGCACUUGCUGCUUCCUCUGGCUGGAAAGCCCUUCUGUCAGAUAGCCACAUGCUUCCCCCUUCAUCCCUGUCCUGUCUUUAUUCAAAUGCCUCCUUCUCAGGAAGGCUCUACCUAAUAAUCACCUUAACACAGAAUGCUCCUCCCCACUCCCCCCUGGCCCACAUUUUCUGCAUGUCUCUUCAUGCUUUAAUUCACAGUAUCUUACAUUUUCUUCUGUGUAUUGUCUGUAUUCACCCAGUGGAAAAUAAGGUGAGUGAGUGUGGAGAUUUGGAUGGGGGGUGUCCUGUUUUGUUCAGUAGGGUAUUUUUCAUGCCCAGAAUAAGGCCUGGCACAUAGAGAUAGAUAUUUAUUUAGUAGGGUAUUCGUCGUGCCCAGAAUAAGGCCUGGCACAUAAAGAUAGAUAUUUAUUUAGAUAGUUAUUGCCCAAUAGACACUUCCUCUGAGAAGAAUGGACAGACGAGGAAACGGAAAGACAUAAUAUUAAAAUAAUUUACCCCAAACUGCAGAUCUAGUGUGUGGCAGAGCAGAAUUAGAAGCCCGGCAGUUUAACAUGAGAGAAGACUGUGUUAUCACCUAGAUUCCUUCAUUUCCUCAUGUCUUGACUGUUUUCCUCCCAAAUCAAGUGAGAAGCAAAAGAAAUGUAUGCACCCAUCUUAGUCCAUUUGGGCUGCUUACAAACAACAGAAAUUUAUUUCUGGCUAUUCUGGAGGCCGGGAAGUGAAAAUUGGACUUAAGAUUAAGGCGCCUGGCAGAUUCAGUGUCUGGUGAGAGCUCACUUCCUGGUUCAAAGAUGGCCAUCUUCUCCCUGUGUCCUCAUGUGGGCAAGGGAGCUCUACAGGGUCCCUUUUAUAAGGGCACUAACACCAUUCAUGAGGGCUCCACCCUCAUGAGCUCAUCACCACCCAAAAGGCACCACCUCUUAAUAUCACACUGGAAGUUAGGCUUCAACAUUUGAAUGUUGAGGGCAGACAAACAUUCAGCCUACAGCUGCACCUUCCCCUCAGAAAGUGAAACUCCUGUCCAGACGUAUCCAGGGAUCCAAUGAGGCUGUGUGAGGGGGUACUGUAUACAGACACCUUUGGUGCCCAGACCAGCACCCCCUUGGCUGACCUGAUUUCAGAUGUGGACAGCUGUGUACAUGCUCCAGAUGUCUCACCUCAGGUACAAACUA